AGCAUUCAUUGGGCUUUAAGCUGCUCCGGUGACAAACCGGAGGAAGGUGGGGAGACGUCAAAUCAUCAUGCCCCUUAUGACCUGGGCUACACACGUGCUACAAUGGACAGAACAAAGGGCUGCAAGACCGCAAGGUUUAGCCAAUCCCAUAAAUCUGUUCUCAGUUCGGAUCGCAGUCUGCAACUCGACUGCGUGAAGCUGGAAUCGCUAGUAAUCGCGGAUCAGCAUGCCGCGGUGAAUACGUUCCCGGGCCUUGUACACACCGCCCGUCACACCACGAGAGUUUGCAACACCCGAAGUCGGUGAGGUAACCUUUAUGGAGCCAGCCGCCGAAGGUGGGCAGAUGAUUGGGGG
rnacentral:rRNA from 2 species